CCUUUCGGCACUCCACUUCAUGCCCUGAGGGAAAUCGUGAAAGGAGAGAACCCGCUUUGUUCAGCGGUGCGGCAGCGUGGAGACCUGUCGUAAAGCUUUCGGGAGGCAGCUUCCCGGCGGCAAGGCAAAUCAGCGGAGGCUCUUUUGCCAUGAACAAGACCCAAUGGC
rnacentral:ncRNA from 1 species